CGCGAGCGAAGGAGUUCAGGUCAGGCUGAAGUCUACGAUCUUGAAACGAGCAGUAGGCCGCUGGCCUCGCCCUCGGGCUCUGUGCUGCUCUACUCUUCGUUUCAAGAACGUAGAUUUUGAACUGAUGUGAUUGAGACCCGCCACG